AUUCCCAUAAUACUUAGCGUCCGACAGUGGGAGCGGCCAUUUGCACUUAGACUAGAAAGAUUAAACUUCAUGUCGUAAACCUGAGGACGCACUGGCGGAUUUAUGCAUUAAGUAUAGCCUUAAUACACACCCCACCAGCGCAGAAGCACGUGUAGUGAUUACGUGUACUAACUUCUUUCCUUACUGAUGAAUAACAGUCAUUUGAAUGCGGCCAUGCUGGAGCACCACCUUUAGUUGAACAAAUCGAUGCCAGGACAUAUUCUUUAUUAGCAGGAAAGGAUGACCUUUUCAAAGAUUGAAAAUAUGUAGAAGUAGUGGUAUAUGAAAAUUGACAUUGAUGUUUUGGAGAUAAGAACAAUGUUACAACUUUGACAGGAAUGAUGAUGAUGACAUCAUUAAUAAUGGUUCAACAGUGACGACGAUGACGAUGACGAUGACAACGAUGAUGACGAUGUCAUUAAUGAUGAACCAAUAGGGAGGGAAGAGGUGAUGAUGUUGACAGCAGUGAAGUCAGUGAUCCAACUGGGACAAACCAAUAGUUAUGACGAUGAUGAUGAUGAUAAUACUGAUGUUAAUGCUAACAAUGUUUGUGAGGGUGAUGAUGAUGGCAAAGAUGAAGAUUUUGAUGAUGAUAAUGAUGAUGAUGAUGAUUAUGAUGGUAAUUAUUAGAAUGAUUUUAAUGAGCAUCAUUGCAUACAAAACAAAAACUAUCAAAAGAUUAAAGAAGCAUGGAUGUGUAUGGAGAAGAUUGUGAAGAAUGUUACAAGGAACAAAACAAUGUUCGGUAUUAUAAUAACAAAACAGCAAAAAUGUACCACCACCACCACCACUACUGAUGAUCAUGAUGAUGAUGGUAAUGGUGAUGAUGACGACGACAAGUAUUACAAUAACAGUAACAAUAUCAAUAAUAACAAGAUACCCUGUUUAUUGUCUAACAGAAUAUGUACCAUUAUGGAUGACAAAAGGAGUGCUGUCAUUAUACAGAAAAGAUAAGACAAAAAGGAUCAAACUAAACUGCUACAAGCUUAUCGUGUGUUUUUAUCUCAUGUGGAAACAAUAGAAUGUGUUGAUAGCUGUUUGAAUAUACUUCUUCAUGUAAAUAGUACACCUGCAUUAUGUGAGAUGAACACAGAUGUUAGAGAAUAUAAGACAGAACAGGUGACUACUGUAUCUUGACAAAAUAGUUCUUCAGAAGAUAUGUUAUUCAUCAUCAUCAUCGGUUAACGUCCGCUUUCC